rnacentral:misc_RNA from 1 species
CGUGCUUCAGUAGGUGGUCCAAGAGUCCGGUGUCAGGAAUGUGUUUCCGAGCUGCCACCCUCAGUACUGGCCGGGAAAUAGGUUUCUCAAAAACAGCCCCUUCAGCCUUCAUGACCUCCAGCAUUCGUUUCUCAGCCAGCUUAUACCUCUCUUUGGACCAUCUGUCUAUGAAGUUCUCCUUUUUCCUUGAUGAAGAAUUAUCUUUUUU